rnacentral:rRNA from 1 species
CAUAGGUUAAUGAGGCGAACCGGGGGAACUGAAACAUCUAAGUACCCCGAGGAAAAGAAAUCAACCGAGAUUCCCCCAGUAGCGGCGAGCGAACGGGGAGCAGCCCAGAGCCUGAAUCAGUGUGUGUGUUAGUGGAAGCGUCUGGAAAGGCGCGCGAUACAGGGUGACAGCCCCGUACACAAAAAUGCACAUAUUGUGAGCUCGAUGAGUAGGGCGGGACACGUGGUAUCCUGUCUGAAUAUGGGGGGACCAUCCUCCAAGGCUAAAUACUCCUGACUGACCGAUAGUGAACCAGUACCGUGAGGGAAAGGCGAAAAGAACCCCGGCGAGGGGAGUGAAAAAGAACCUGAAACCGUGUACGUACAAGCAGUGGGAGCACGCUUAGGCGUGUGACUGCGUACCUUUUGUAUAAUGGGUCAGCGACUUAUAUUCUGUAGCAAGGUUAACCGAAUAGGGGAGCCGAAGGGAAACCGAGUCUUAACUGGGCGUUAAGUUGCAGGGUAUAGACCCGAAACCCGGUGAUCUAGCCAUGGGCAGGUUGAAGGUUGGGUAACACUAACUGGAGGACCGAACCGACUAAUGUUGAAAAAUUAGCGGAUGACUUGUGGCUGGGGGUGAAAGGCCAAUCAAACCGGGAGAUAGCUGGUUCUCCCCGAAAGCUAUUUAGGUAGCGCCUCGUGAAUUCAUCUCCGGGGGUAGAGCACUGUUUCGGCAAGGGGGUCAUCCCGACUUACCAACCCGAUGCAAACUGCGAAUACCGGAGAAUGUUAUCACGGGAGACACACGGCGGGUGCUAACGUCCGUCGUGAAGAGGGAAACAACCCAGACCGCCAGCUAAGGUCCCAAAGUCAUGGUUAAGUGGGAAACGAUGUGGGAAGGCCCAGACAGCCAGGAUGUUGGCUUAGAAGCAGCCAUCAUUUAAAGAAAGCGUAAUAGCUCACUGGUCGAGUCGGCCUGCGCGGAAGAUGUAACGGGGCUAAACCAUGCACCGAAGCUGCGGCAGCGACGCUUAUGCGUUGUUGGGUAGGGGAGCGUUCUGUAAGCCUGUGAAGGUGUGCUGUGAGGCAUGCUGGAGGUAUCAGAAGUGCGAAUGCUGACAUAAGUAACGAUAAAGCGGGUGAAAAGCCCGCUCGCCGGAAGACCAAGGGUUCCUGUCCAACGUUAAUCGGGGCAGGGUGAGUCGACCCCUAAGGCGAGGCCGAAAGGCGUAGUCGAUGGGAAACAGGUUAAUAUUCCUGUACUUGGUGUUACUGCGAAGGGGGGACGGAGAAGGCUAUGUUGGCCGGGCGACGGUUGUCCCGGUUUAAGCGUGUAGGCUGGUUUUCCAGGCAAAUCCGGAAAAUCAAGGCUGAGGCGUGAUGACGAGGCACUACGGUGCUGAAGCAACAAAUGCCCUGCUUCCAGGAAAAGCCUCUAAGCAUCAGGUAACAUCAAAUCGUACCCCAAACCGACACAGGUGGUCAGGUAGAGAAUACCAAGGCGCUUGAGAGAACUCGGGUGAAGGAACUAGGCAAAAUGGUGCCGUAACUUCGGGAGAA